UUGAACGCUGGCGGCAUGCCUUACACAUGCAAGUCGAACGGUAGAGGGGCAACCCUUGAGGGUGGCGAACGGGCGAGUAAUAUAUCGGAACGUGCCCAGUCGUGGGGGAUAACGCAGCGAAAGCUGCGCUAAUACCGCAUACGAUCUAUGGAUGAAAGCGGGGGAUCGCAAGACCUCGCGCGAUUGGAGCGGCCGAUAUCAGAUUAGGUAGUUGGUGGGGUAAAAGCCCACCAAGCCGACGAUCUGUAGCUG
rnacentral:rRNA from 1 species